UGAGGAAUAUUGGUCAAUGGGCGUAAGCCUGAACCAGCCAUCCCGCGUGCAGGAAGAAGGCGCUAUGCGUCGUAAACUGCUUUUCCGGAGGAAGAAAACCCCUGACGUGUCGGGGCUUGCCGGUACUCUGGGAAUAAGCAUCGGCUAACUCCGUGCCAGCAGCCGCGGUAAUACGGAGGAUGCGAGCGUUAUCCGGAUUUAUUGGGUUUAAAGGGUGCGUAGGCGGAUUAAUAAGUCAGUGGUGAAAACCUUCAGCUUAACUGGAGACUUGCCAUUGAUACUGUUAGUCUUGAGUACGGUCAAGGUAGGCGGAAUGUGUAAUGUAGCGGUGAAAUGCUUAGAUAUUACACAGAACACCGAUUGCGAAGGCAGCUUACUGGGCCGCAACUGACGCUGAUGCACGAAAGCGUGGGGAGCGAACA
rnacentral:rRNA from 1 species